UGGGGAAUAUUGCACAAUGGGCGAAAGCCUGAUGCAGCGACGCCGCGUGAGGGAUGACGGCCUUCGGGUUGUAAACCUCUUUCAGCAGGGAAGAAGCGAAAGUGACGGUACCUGCAGAAGAAGCGCCGGCUAACUACGUGCCAGCAGCCGCGGUAAUACGUAGGGCGCAAGCGUUGUCCGGAAUUAUUGGGCGUAAAGAGCUCGUAGGCGGUUAGUCGCGUCUGCUGUGAAAACUCGAGGCUCAACCUCGGGCUUGCAGUGGGUACGGGCUGACUAGAGUGCGGUAGGGGUGACUGGAAUUCCUGGUGUAGCGGUGGAAUGCGCAGAUAUCAGGAGGAACACCGAUGGCGAAGGCAGGUCACUGGGCCGCAACUGACGCUGAGGAGCGAAAGCAUGGGGAGCGAACAGGAUUAGAUACCUUGGUAGUCCAUGCCGUAAACGUUGGGCACUAGGUGUGGGGUCCAUUCCACGGAUUCCGUGCCGCAGCAAACGCAUUAAGUGCCCCGCCUGGGGAGUACGGCCGCAAGGCUAAAACUCAAAUGAAUUGAC
rnacentral:rRNA from 1 species